rnacentral:lncRNA from 1 species
CGGCGCUGAACGCCAGGGUGGAGGAGGGUUGGCUCUCACUUGCCAAGGCUCGCUAUGCCAUGGGAGCCAAGUCGGUAGGACCCCUGCAGUAUGCCUCGCGUAUGGAGCCUCAGGUCUGCGUGCGUGCCAGCGAGGCCCAGGAUGGACCCCAGACCUUCAGGGUGAUCAAAGCUGACGCCCAGACCCCCCGAGGAAGUGGGGCCUAGCGAAGCAUCUCUGCGCAGGCGCAAGGGCCCCACCAAGCCCAAAGAGUUAGGAUCUGCUGUAGUUCCUCAAGAUCCCUUGAACUGGUUUGGAAUUUUGGUUCCUCACAGUCUGCCUGACCUGCAUCCACAUUGGGAGGCACUGAGCAUAGCUGC